rfam:Clostridiales bacterium oral taxon 876 str. F0540 genomic scaffold Scaffold34, whole genome shotgun sequence.
AAUAAAUAAGUAAAUAUUCCGUAGACAGUAGGUGCUCAGGCAUAAAGGGACUUCCCAACCUACCGAGGAUUCCAAUAUAAGUAUUUAAUUGGUCUCUUCGUGUCUACGGAGAGAUUUUUAAUUUUAUAA